UACGUAGGGGGCUAGCGUUGUCCGGAAUCAUUGGGCGUAAAGCGCGUGUAGGCGGUCCGGUAAGUCCGCUGUGAAAGUCGGGGGCUCAACCCUCGAAUGCCGGUGGAUACUGUCGGGCUAGAGUGCGGAAGAGGCGAGUGGAAUUCCUGGUGUAGCGGUGAAAUGCGCAGAUAUCAGGAGGAACACCAAUGGCGAAGGCAGCUCGCUGGGACGGUACUGACGCUGAGACGCGAAAGCGUGGGGGGCAAACAGG
rnacentral:rRNA from 1 species